UACGUAGGGUGCAAGCGUUGUCCGGAAUUAUUGGGCGUAAAGAGCUCGUAGGCGGUCUGUUGCGUCGGCUGUGAAAACCCGAGGCUCAACCUCGGGCCUGCAGCCGAUACGGGCAGACUAGAGUUCGGCAGGGGAGACUGGAAUUCCUGGUGUAGCGGUGAAAUGCGUAGAUAUCAGGAGGAACACCGGUGGUGUAGACGGCUUUCUGGACCGUAACUGACGCUGAGACACGAAAAGCCGUUGGGGUAGCAAACAGG
rnacentral:rRNA from 1 species